rnacentral:lncRNA from 1 species
GUAAAGAACUGGAAUUUGAAGCAAAGCUGAGAGAGCGUGUUGAUUUCAACUGCUGACAGUUAUAACAAUUUUUUAUGUCAAUUACUCUCUCUGGCAGUUGGGAGUUGGUCUCUGGCAGUUGGCAGAGAAGCAGUCUCAGACUCUCUCAGGGCUGGUGGAGGCCCUAAGCACUCCACAGUGCUUUGCUGCAUCGCCCUCUCAGCUGUUGAACCUUCUUGUUGGCUUCUUCCGCCUGUUCCGCCGAAGCAGUCUUCACAAGCUGGGAUAAAAAUCUUAUCAGUGAGCUCUGGAUGUGUUCAAAGACAUUGACUUCAAAUCAAGCAGAAAUGAUUUCCCUAAAAAUCUAUGAAUUCCUCUAAUUAAGAAAUUAGAACAUUCCUUGCAAUAGGAAAUUAAUCAAUUCUUGAAUAGAGA